rnacentral:piRNA from 1 species
UAGAAUAUGUGCCUGAACAUUUCCCUGGA